AAUAGAUACCCUGGUAGUCCACGCCGUAAACGUUGGGCACUAGGUGUGGGGUCUAUUCAACGGACUCCGGUGCCGUAGCUAACGCAUUAAGUGCCCCGCCUGGGGAGUACGGCCGCAAGGCUAAAACUCAAAGGAAUUGACGGGGGCCCGCACAAGCAGCGGAGCAUGUUGCUUAAUUCGAGGCAACGCGAAGAACCUUACCUGGGUUUGACAUGUAGAGAAAAGCCAUAGAGAUAUGGUGUCCUUCAGGGUUCUACACAGGUGGUGCAUGGUUGUCGUCAGCUCGUGUCGUGAGAUGUUGGGUUAAGUCCCGCAACGAGCGCAACCCUUGUCCUAUGUUGCCAGCACGUUAUGGUGGGGACUCGUAGGAGACUGCCGGGGUCAACUCGGAGGAAGGUGGGGACGACGUCAAAUCAUCAUGCCCCUUAUAUCCAGGGCUGCAAACAUGCUACAAUGGCCGGUACAAAGGGCUGCGAAACCGCGAGGUGGAGCGAAUCCCAUAAAGCCGGUCUCAGUUCGGAUUGGAGUCUGCAACUCGACUCC
rnacentral:rRNA from 1 species